UACGUAGGGACCGAGCGUUGUCCGGAUUCAUUGGGCGUAAAGAGCUCGUAGGCGGCUGUUCAAGUCGAACGUGAAAACUCGGAGCUCAACUCCGAGCCUGCGUUCGAUACUGGACGGCUAGAGUCUGGUAGGGGGAUCUGGAAUUCCUGGUGUAGCGGUGGAAUGCGCAGAUAUCGGGAGGAACACCAAUGGCGAAGGCAGCUCGCUGGGACGGUACUGACGCUGAGGCGCGAAAGCGUGGGGAGCAAACAGG
rnacentral:rRNA from 1 species